rnacentral:rRNA from 1 species
CGAAGGGGGCUAGCGUUGUUCGGAGUUACUGGGCGUAAAGGGCGCGUAGGCGGCGCACCAAGUCAGGCGUGAAAGCCCUGGGCUCAACCCGGGAAUUGCGCUUGAGACUGGUGUGCUUGAGUACGGGAGAGGAUAGUGGAAUUCCCAGUGUAGAGGUGAAAUUCGUAGAUAUUGGGAAGAACACCGGUGGCGAAGGCGGCUAUCUGGACCGUAACUGACGCUGAGGCGCGAAAGCGUGGGGAGCAAACAGGAUUAGAUACCCUGGUAGUCCACGCCGUAAACGAUGAGUGCUAGACGUUGGGGCUCUUAGAGCUUCGGUGUCGCCGCUAACGCAUUAAGCACUCCGCCUGGGGAGUACGGCCGCAAGGUUA